UACGUAGGGGGCAAGCGUUGUCCGGAAUCAUUUUUCUUAAAGCGCGUUUAUUCGGCUCGGUAAGUCUGCUGUGAAAGUCCAGGGCUCAACCCUGGGAUGCCGGUGGAUACUGUCGAGCUCGAGUCCGGAAGAGGCGAGUGGAAUUCCUGGUGUAGCGGUGAAAUGCGCAGAUAUCAGGAGGAACACCAAUGGCGAAGGCAGCUCGCUGGGACGUGACUGACGCUGAGACGCGAAAGCGUGGGGAGCAAACAGG
rnacentral:rRNA from 1 species